AUGAUACCUGACUUAUCACAGGCAAUAACAGUCACAAAAGGAGUGAGCAGCCUCUUGACUGUGGAACAGCGUCCUCCCUUGCUGUGGGUUCAGGAAGGAGAGAGCACCAAUUUCACCUGCAGUUUCCCUUCCAGCUCUUUCUAUGCUUUACACUGGUACAGAUGGGAACCUGCAAAGGGCCCCAAGAACCUGUUUGUAAUAAGUGUAAAUGGGGAUGAAAAGAAGCAAGGACGAGUGAGAGUCACUCUGAAUACUAAGGAGGGCUACAGCUCCAUGUACAUCAGAGGAUCCCAGCCUGAAGACUCAGCCACCUACCUCUGUGCCUCCACACAGUGCCACUAA